CACAGGUACAGAUAGCAGUAUUCAUUGUAGCUCAGCAAUGGCUUUUGCAAGGAGUAAGAAUAUGCAGGAGGAACCAAUGCGUCUCAAUAUUCUUGAGAGAGAAAAGAUCUCCUGUUCUUUGCCUGAGUGGAGAAGUCACUGGAGAGCUGUAAGAAUCAUCUGAAAUCUGCCUGACUGAUGGAUUUCAGCCAAGGCAAACAGUUUUACCUGGGUUGUUCUGGAAGACCAAGUUGACCUUUUUUUAAAUUAUUAUUAUUAUUAUUAUUUAUUUACCAUUAAUUUGUGAUGCCAUUUGCACCUACAGAGCACACUUGGUUGUCCAAAGAGAAAUUCAGUCUCCUACAUCUUCCACCUGAAUCUUUCUUAAUACUCCUGAAAAACAGCUACCUGAUACCAAGACUCAUAUUGGUAAAAGUGAGUUUAACAUUUGCUAAAGUAAACUAAAUACAGGACAUGCUGUCACUCAUUUUAACAACAAAUUCUCAAGAAAUUAAAGUGCCUCACUCAUCCAAUUGUGGAAAAGGAGACAUUAUAUAUAAAAUAGUCUACUUUU